rnacentral:lncRNA from 1 species
UAUAUAGUCCGGCUGGAAUACUAUCGAUGGCAUCAAACAUUUGAUGCUACCGAAUUUUCUACCGUUAAUUUUAACCCUUUAACUAUUUUCACUAAUUAGAUUAUACUAUUCAAUCAACAACUUACUCAACUCUAGAGAACCCAUAUCAUCCUAAUCAUACAUUCUUUCAUCCAAGAGUCGAAAACCUAAUAGCACCGACAGCUUGGUGCUAUUAGUAGUAUUCCACCUAGUUUUAUAUAUAUAUAUAUAUAUAUAUAUAUAUAUAUAAUAGUUGAGCUGGAAUAUUAUUAGUAGCAAAUUAGCUAUAUUGCCACUCAUUUAUUUUUUAAGAUGGAGUUUUCAAAUCGACGAUCGAUAUUGUUGAAUAUGAUUUAUACCACGUGAGACAUCAAGAAAUAAUUUUUUUUUUUUUUUUUUAUAUAUAUCAUUAGCCUAAUGAUCAAAGAAUUUUAAAAUUUGUAAUUUUUAAUGGUGAAUAUUAGAUAUUUUUUCAUUUAGCGGCGUAAAGAUAUCAAAAUCAAUUAAAUUUUGGUUAAUUUUUUUAAAACUAUUUAAAACAAGAUCUAUACUUUUUAUUUUGAUUACAAGACCCCCAUCAUCACUUUUUAAAGAAUAUUUGUUUUCAACCAAUCAUUUUUAUGUCCACUUGAUGGAAAGAGAACAAUAUCGAAAAAAAUAUAAAAUUUGAUUUCUAAAUUUUCAAGUGGUAUAGAUCAUAUUUAGUAAUGUCGAUCGUCGAUUUGGAGGCUCCAUCAUGAAAAAUAAAUAGGUGACAACGGAAUUUAUUUACUAUUGAUAGCAUUCCAGCUCAACUCUCUCUCUCUCUCUCUCUCUCUCUCUCUCUCUAUAUUAUACAAGUCUUCUAGAUGAAUUAGACCACACCAAAAA